rnacentral:rRNA from 1 species
UAUGUGAAGAAAGAUGGCCUCUGAUUCAAGCUAUUGUACAGGGAGGAGCUUGCGUACCAUUAGCUAGUUGGUAGGGUAAUGGCCUACCAAGGCAACGAUGGUUAGCGGGUCUGACAGGAUGAUCCGCCACACUGGAACUGAAACACGGACCAGACUCCUACGGGAGGCAGCAGUGAGGAAUAUUGCGCAAUGGGGGCAACCCUGACGCAGCGACGCCGCGUGGAUGAUGAAGGCCUUCGGGUCGUAAAAUCCUGUCAGAUGGGAAGAAGUGUGUGGUGGUUAAUACCCUCCGCAUUUGACGGUACCAUCAGAGGAAGCACCGGCUAACUCCGUGCCAGCAGCCGCGGUAAUACGGAGGGUGCAAGCGUUGUUCGGAUUUACUGGGCGUAAAGCGCGCGUACGCGGUUUGUUAAGUCAGAUGUGAAAGCCCAAGGCUCAACCUUGGACGUGCAUUUGAAACUGGCAGACUUGAGUAUUGGAGGGGGUGGUGGAAUUCCCG